AAUAUUUUGUGAUCACGUGACAGGGAGAAGGAAUGUCUUGUCUUCAUUCCUGACAUGUUUCUGAACAGAACUUUGUAAAUAAACGAACAGACUUUCGUUGCUUGCAAUUAUUGAUUUUAAAACAGAUUAUAAAGAAGAACAAAGGUCUGUGGUGUAUAAUAUGAGAAUAUAACAAGUUCCAAUCCCGUUAACGUUCAACUCCGAUCGAUUUAUUUGGUAAAAUUCAUGGCUGCCGAAACACCUUUGGAUGUGCUCUCCCAUGCUGUCAGUUUGGUUGAGACAGGAGGAAAUCAGAUGGACGACUGUAGAGAUUCUCCUUCUAAAGAACUUCCGACUAAAGAGUUGAAAUAUAGAAGACUGAAAGAGAGGCGAGAACUUUCAAAUAUGUUGCCCUUAAGGGUUUGGAACAGAAAAUGUUCAUCUCCACAACAGUAAGGACAAUUUUUUAUUGGUUUUGAAUAUUUGCAUUUUUAUGCUGUAGAUGAUGAUUUUAAUACACAAAUA
rnacentral:lncRNA from 1 species